GCACUUCUGAGGAGUACCAUAAUAGGACGAAACGGCCGUCCAGUGC
rfam:Schistosoma mansoni, Puerto Rico, WGS project CABG01000000 data, contig: 0274